GACGAACGCUGGCGGCGUGCUUAACACAUGCAAGUCGAGCGAUGAAAUCCCUUCGGGGAUGGAUUAGCGGCGGACGGGUGAGUAACACGUGGGUAACCUGCCUCAAAGAGGGGGAUAGCCUCCCGAAAGGGAGAUUAAUACCGCAUAACAUUAGUUUUUCGCAUGGAGAACUAAUUAAAGGAGUAAUCCGCUUUGAGAUGGACCCGCGGCGCAUUAGCUAGUUGGUGAGGUAACGGCUCACCAAGGCGACGAUGCGUAGCCGACCUGAGAGGGUGAUCGGCCACAGUGGAACUGAGACACGGGCCAGACUCCUACGGGAGGCGGCAGUGGGGAAUAUUGCACAAUGGGCGAAAGCCUGAUGCAGCAACGCCGCGUGAGUGAUGAAGGCCUUCGGGUUGUAAAGCUCUGUCUUUUGGGACGAUAAUGACGGUACCAAAGGAGGAAGCCACGGCUAACUACGUGCCAGCCGCCGCAGUAA
rnacentral:rRNA from 1 species